UACGGAGGGGGCUAGCGUUGUUCGGAAUUACUGGGCGUAAAGCGCGCGUAGGCGGACCUGCAAGUCGGGGGUGAAAGCCCGAGGCUCAACCUCGGAACUGCCUUCGAUACUGCGGGUCUCGAGUCCGGGAGAGGUGAGUGGAAUUCCUAGUGUAGAGGUGAAAUUCGUAGAUAUUAGGAAGAACACCGGUGGCGAAGGCGGCAUCCUGGACCGACACUGACGCUGAGGAGCGAAAGCCAGGGGAGCAAACGGG
rnacentral:rRNA from 1 species